GGAUAGCUGAUGAGAAACAAGACCAACAUAGAUAUAGAAAGUCAUUUCCUUGCGGCCACUUACAGAGAUUCUUCGAAUUAUAGGAUACAGGGGGUUCCCUAAUUGGCUGCAAAGGCCAUUUGCUGCCAUCGAGCUUUUAAAAUCAGAUGAUGGCUUCUCUCUCAUCUCCAUCCUCUCCCAGGCAGAAGUUAUCUAUCCCAUUAGCGAGGACUCCAAUUAGAAUUCCUGCGGCUAUCCACUUACUUAAGUUGUGCCGCAACUUACAGGAAGUAAAACAAAUGCAUGCUCGGUUGGUUGUGUCCGGAUUCCUUGAACUCCCUUCGAGUGCUGGGAGGCUACUCGAGUCAUAUGUUACAGUGUCACAGCUCAAAUUUGCCAUUUUACUCUUUCAGAGACUACCUUCUCCUGAUGUAUUUGCAUACAACACCAUGAUUAGAGGCCUAACACUGGGUAAGUCUCCCCAUGAUUCCAUCUUACUGUAUAAUGAGCUGUUGCUAGAUGGUAUAGCCCCGGACAAUUACACUUACACCUUUGUCCUCAAAGCAUGUUCCCAUUUGGAAGCGCUCUCUGAAGGUAAACAAGUGCACGGCCAGAUAAUUAAAUCUGGAAUAGCGCCCAAUACCCACGUUCAUAGCAUUCUGAUACAUAUGUACACGAUUUCAGAUAGCAUUGUUUGUGCAGAACGAGUUCUUGCACAAUUCUCAGAAGAGAACACGCUUGCUAAGAAUUCUUUAGUCUCUGGGUAUCUAAGUCAAGGCCAUGUGGAAAAGGCUAGAAUACUGUUUGAAACCAUAGAGACAAAAGACGUUGCAUCUUGGAGCGCAAUGGUCACAGGAUACACGAAGAACGGCAUGUAUUCAGAGGCAUUAGUUGUCUUUCGGGACAUGAUGGUUUCCCAAGUCCAUCCAAAUGAAUCAACAUUCGUGAGCUCGUUGUGUGCCUGUGCUUAUUCGGGGGCACUGGACCAGGGAAGAUGGAUACAUGCAUAUCUUGAUAAAGCAGGGGUUAAGAUUAGUGUUACUCUGGGUACUGCUCUUAUCGACAUGUAUGCCAAGUGUGGCAGCAUCAAAUGUGGCUAUGAUAUCUUCCGAAGUAUGCCUCAGAGAGAUAUAGUAACAUGGGGAGUAAUUAUAUCUGGAUUCGCCAUGCAUGGUGAAGCUGAAAUAUGUUUUCAAUUGUUUGAUGAGAUGGUUGCUAGCGGAACACAUCCAAACGAAGUGAUAUUUGUGGCUAUAUUAUCUGCUUGCUCCCAUGCGGGAUAUGUUGAACUUGGACAUCAGUAUUUCUAUAAAAUGAUUCAUGAUUUUGGGAUUAGACCAACAAUUGAGCAUUAUGGAUGCAUGGUGGACCUGCUUGGCCGUGCGGGGCAGUUGUCAGAAGCAGAAGAGCUGAUUGCGUCAAUGCCAGGAGAGCCUAAUUCGAUUAUAUGGGGAGCGUUUCUCAGCGGUUGUAGGACCUACGCUGACGUGAGGAGAGGAAGUCGUGCAUUCAGAUGCCUUAUUGAUCUCGAGCCAAUGUCAGGAGACAGGUAUAAACUUGCAGGGCUCAUGUUGGCCAGUGCUGGUGAAAAAGCUGAUGCAACUAAAAUUAGGGGAUUCAUCAAGCAAAAUGACUUGGAGACAACAUGUGGAACCAGCCUCGUUGAAAUAGAUGGCGUCGUCCAUGAGUUCACAGUAGGGGAUGUAGAUCGUAGAAAGCUUAGAGAGAUCUACGGAUUAUGGAAUGGCUUUUGAGGAUGACAUAUAUAUAAUAUACACAUAGGGGACUCGGAGGUUUAACAGUGAAUUGUAGGAAAAGGGAACACAACCCGUUUAAGAAAGCGAAAAAGGAAACAAAAGCAGAAAUAAAAUUACCCUUCAUGGAUUGGCCAGCGUGCAUGACAGUGGCCUCCCUCUUAUCUCUCUAUGGUCUUUCUCUCUCUCUGUGCGCGCGGGCGUGCGCAUGUGCUCGUGGAGGGUUGAGCAGGAAUGUUGCCUUUUCGAUCUUGAUGAGAAGAAAUGCAAAAGCAAAGUCACGAGUGUAUUCAUUUCAAGUCAAAUAUAACAAGUGUGGUAUAUAUUGACUAUUCAAUUUGCAUAGAUAAAGUUACACCAAAUGAAUUGAUCAUAUUGAUGCUGCUAACACUUAGGUAUCAAGAACAAAUAUUGCUCUCUGAAUUCUAAAACCGUAUAGAAUUGAAAGGUCCUUGGUGUAGAUUAGUGCUCAACUGAAUUAGCAAAAAUGGUAUCACCAUAUAUACCAGGGAGUUUUGAGUCUAGAAUUGUAUAAAUGCCGGAACUGCUUCAUUACGGCCAUACACCACGGACCAGGAAAGUUGCUUGUUUAACUGUAUUAACCCGAAGGUAAAAAAAUACAUAUACCGAAAGAGAUGGUAGCGGCACCAUAUAACUUGUGACUUCAGAACUGAACUACUAAGACCGGAGUAUUCCUUGGUACAGAAUAAUUGAGUUGACAUAUGCUAUGCUAUGGCGCAAUUAGGGGACACAAAGGCAUCCAUUCUAUUGCUUACAUUGAUAUAUAUAUAUAUAUAUAUUAUGUAGUGAGAUAGGUGGCUUACAUUGCUGAUAAUUAUGAUCGUAUACUCGACUCUCAAAGGCAUCCAUUCUAUUGCUUGAUUAAGCUCCUAGGAUUGGAAAAAUAAUUCCUUCCCAUCUUAUAGACCGUUCUACACACACACGUACAUAAACGUGUCGAGUUACUCGAGACAGUAAUGAUAAUAAUUACUACAUGACAGUGAUUAUGAAGUGAAGAUCGUAAUUAAGUGGAUUUUGUAUCUUUAAAUUAUUGAGAUUAUAUUUUUAUAUUUUAGAUUAUUAAUAUGUAAUCUGUCAAUUUUAAUAAUUUAAACAACCUUGAAUGUAUAAAGGGUGGUCUGGGUAUCGCCCAUAAAAAUUAAAAAAACCCAGACCGUCCUUUUCCUUUCCUUCCACGUUACCAAAACCAGUGGAUAAAUCUAAAAACGAAAAAAAAAAAACCCAAUUCCUUCCCCCCCUCUCUCGUCUCGACUCCUCACGAUCCAGUAACCCAAAAGGAAAAGAGACGUUUUUAUUUUCGACUUUGAAUUCUAAAUAAAACUAGCCUUCUAUUUGUUACCGUGUGUAUAUAUAGUUAUUAUCGGCGACGAUGCGUAUCAUUUCCUGAUUUUGGGAUUUCCAGAUCGAAACAGUUCCGUCCAAUCCUCAAUCGCUGAUAAAAAAAAAAAAAGUACUUCACUCACAGGCUCUGGGUUCCUUGUGGCACUGCCUCAUGCUUGCGCUUGCUUGAAUGCUAGUACGCUAUGUUACUAGAUAGACGGUUGGCUGCUGCGCUAUAGAUCUCAGCGGGAGGGUCUUUUUCUUUGCUUGCAGAAUUGAUCCUAUUUGCUAUUCUAUCACCCCUCAUUGUGAGAUCCUAUUGGGUGAUGGGUCAAAGAUGUGCUUUUGACACAAUGUGUGGUGUGGCGAGCAAUCUUUUAGAAGUGCAUUACUGGUGUUGUUUAGAGUUGCUAGCAUGAAGGGAGAUUAUCUUGUGGAUCACUAUCAUCAUAGUAUGAGUUUUCACCAGGGAGGCAAUGACUAGGAGAUGGAUCUCUUUUCAUCUUUCUUUGACAGAUUAUACUCUUGUAUGGGAUGAGAUGGAAAAGAUAAAAUGGUUUGGAUUCCAUCUAGGAGAUGUGUUUUCGAGGUGAAGUCAUACUACAAUGCACUUUGUAAUCAUGUCAAGGCUCCUUCCCCAUGAAAGCUCAUUUGAAGAAACAGGCUCCUCCAAGAGUGGCUAUCUUCAUGUUGACAACGGUAGUAGGGAAAAUCCUCACGCUAGACAAUGCGGGGAAUUGCUGGACACAAAAAUGUCUGAGUACCAAGGGGAU